rnacentral:rRNA from 1 species
CCAUGCAUGUCUAGGCAUAAAUGAAUCAAUUGUGAAGCCGCGAAUGGCUCAUUACACCAGCUGAAAUUUACUGGAUAUAUCCUUUACAUGGAUAACUGUGGUAAUUCUACAGCUAAUACACGCAUCAAAACCCCGACUAACGAAGGGGUGCGUUUGUUACUUCAAACCAAUCGGGCUUCGGCCUGAAAACUGGUGAAACUGAACAAUUUAGCUGAUCGCACGGUCUAUGCACCGGCGACAUGUCUUUCAAACGUCUGCCUUAUCAACUUUCGAUGGUAGAUUAUGCGCCUACCAUGGUUGUAACGGGUAACGGAGAAUCAGGGUUUGAUUCCGGAGAGGGAGCCUGAGAAACGGCUACCACAUCCAAGGAAGGCAGCAGGCACGCAAAUUACCCACUCCCGGCACGGGGAGGUAGUGACGAAAAAUAACAAGCUGGUCUCUAUGAGUUCCGGCAUUGUAAUGGGAACAAUUUAAAUCCUUUAUCGAGGAUCUAUUGGAGGGCAAGUCUGGUGCCAGCAGCCGCGGUAAUUCCAGCUCCAAUAGCGUAUAUUAAAGUUGUUGCGGUUAAAAAGCUCGUAGUUGGAUCUAUGACCAAGAGCGUUGGUCGUUCAACUUGGACGUACUGAUGUCUCUGGUCCUUUCUUCAGUGAUCGGUUGUUGCUCUUUACUGAGUGACCUCCUUUGCUGAAACUUUUACCUUGAAAAAAUUGAAGUGCUCAAAGCAGGCUUUCGCCUGAACAUUGCUGCAUGGGAUAAUAGAACGACCUCGGUUCUGUUCUGUUGGUUUCGGAACGCGAAGUAAUGGUUAAUAGGGACAGACGGGGGCAUUCGUAUUGCUGCGUUAGAGGUGAAAUUCUUGGAUCGCAGCAAGACGAACUACUGCGAAAGCAUUUGCCAAGAAUGUUUUCAUUAAUCAAGAACGAAAGUUAGAGGUU